AAUUAUAUUCAGUGAUUAGGGAGGUCCUCUCCAGUAAUUAAAUUCUAUGAUUUUUAUAAAAUCAUAAGCUGAAAAUAAUGAUUUAAAGCUUAACUUUUGUCCACUUAAGGGUUCCUUAUAUUAUCAACUUGUUUUUUGAGUUUCUGUACUAGGUAGCUAUUAUUCUCUAAGAGAUUAAAACCUAAAAUUAAGUCUAACAGUUUAGAAUUUAGCAUACUUACUUUAAAAAAUAUUUUUCCUACUUCCAUAGUUAAUAAAUUCACAGUCAGUGACAAAAGCAAAAAACAACAACAGCAAAACUUGGAAAACCUGUGCAAAAAGUGCAAAAGAAAAAGAAAAUUACCUGUAAUUCUUUACCCAAGGAUGGCUAUUGGUAACAUAUUUUUUCAACAGACGUUUUUUUUUUUUUAGUAGUUUUAGGUUCACGGCAAAAUUGAGCAGAAAGUACAGCAUUCCCAUGUACCCACUGCCCCUACACAUGCACAGCCCACCCCACUAUCAACAAUGUCCACCAAAGUGGUACAUUUGUUGUGUCAAUGUGGACGAACCCACAUUGACACAACAUACUCACUCCAAGUCCAUAAGCUACACUAGGGUUCACGCUUGGUGGUGUACGUUCUGUGAGUUUUAACAAACGCAUGAUAGCAUGUACCCAACAUUAAACCGUCAUAAGAAUGGUUUCCUGCCCUAAAAAUCCUCUGUGUUCCACCUAUGGAACUCUGUCCCUGUAACUUGUGCCAAUCCCUGACCUUUAGUGCAAAGGUCUAUACUUUUAUAUUUUCCAAAAUGUCAUAUAGUUGGAAUCAUACUGAUUCCAAAGGCUGAGUAAACAGCCUUUUCAGAUUGACUUUCUCCACUAAGCAGUAAGCAUUUAACAUUCCUCCAUGGCUUUUCUGGCUUGACAGCUCAUUGCUCUGUAGCACUGAGUAACGUUCCAUUGUCUGGAUGCACCCGUUUCUUUAUCCAUUCACCCACAGGAGGGCAUCUUGGUUGCUUCCAAGUUUUUGGCAGUUAUGAAUAAAGCUCCUGUAAACAUCCAUGUUCAGGUUUUUGUGUGGACAUAUUUUCAACUCAUUUGGAUAAAUACCGUGGAUCAAAGUGAACUUUUGCAUUUCCACUGGUAAUGAUGAGAGCUCCUGGUGUCCACGUCUUCAUCAGAAUUUGGUGCUGUCAGUGUUUUGCAGUCUCACCACUUAAUAGGUGUGUACUGGUCUCUCCUUGCUAUUUUACAUUAUUAGCAUUUUGAUGUAUCAAUAUUUUUCCACAGAAUGUUUUCAAAUAUUUAUAUCACUGAUAAAAAAUGUCUUGUUAGAAGAGAAGAAGAGAUUCAGUAAAAAAACUGGUGAUAUCUAGAAGAAUAAAAUCAUCAUUGAGGACUUCCCUAGUGGCGCAGUGGUUAAGAAUCCGCCUGCCAAUGCAGGCGACACAGGUUCGAGCCCUGAUCCGGGAAGAUCCCACAUGCCACGGAGCAACUAAGCCCGUGUGCCACAACUACUGAGCCUGCACUCUAGAGCCCGUGAGCCACAACUACUGAACCCACAUGCCACAACUACUGAAGCCUGCAUGCCUAGAGCCCAUGCUCCGCCACAAGAGAAGCCACCGCAAUGAGAAGCCCCUGCACCACAACUACAGAAAGCCCACAAACAGCAACGAAGACCCAAGGUACCCAAAAAUAAAAAUAAAUUAAUUAAGAAAAAAAAAACCUGUUUAAAAAAAAAUCGCCAUUGAGAAUAGGAUCGUCAUCUCUGUUUUGUUGUUGUCAGAUAGGUAAAAAGAUUUUAAGAUGAGAUGCAUACGGUGGAGACUAAUAUGUAGCUACAGAAGACUUGUGCUUUGGCUUCCCUCUAACCCUAAAACAGAAAUCAUGUCCAAGGAUCUAUCCGUGGAAAAGCGGGACUCGGAAUGACUGCAUACUCAUGACAGGUAGAGAAAUUUAAAAAAAAAAAAAAAGACAUGCUUAUCUUUUAUGUGUGAUGUGAUAUAAAACAGUUUGUGGGAAAUGCUUUUGAGACACCAUAUCUAUGUCGAUAAGAAACUAAUUUUGAACUCAAUUGUCAUUUUUUUAAAUGUCAUAAAGAAAUAAGAAUUGUAAUCAGGAUUAGAGUCAUCAAGCAUGAUAAGACAGAAGAGUUUUAUCAGCUAAUGCUUAGUGGUACUGUAUAGCACAGGAACUAUAUUCAAUAUCUUGUGAUAAACCGUAAUGGAAAAGAAUAUGAAAAAGAAUAAAUAUAUGUGUAACUGAGUCACUUUGCUGUACAACAAAAAUUAACAUUGUAAAUAAACUAUACUUCAAUAAAAUGAAAAAAAAACCCUAACGCUUAGUGGUAGUACCAAAAAUUAGUCAUUGUUACUAGCAUUGUGUGGAACUUUUAAGAUUUUUAAAAAUUAAUUUACUUAUUUAUUAUUUGGUUGUCCUGGGUCUUAGUUGUGGCACGUGGGCUCCUUAGUUGUGGCAUGAGAACUCUUAGUUGCGGCAUGUGUGUGGGAUCUAGUUCCCUGACCAGUGAUUGAACCUGAUCCCCCUGCAUUGGGAGUGUGGACUCUUAUUAUCCACUGAGCCAUGAGGGAAGUCCCUCAGAUCUUUGAUGUUCAUUCAUUCCACAAAUGUUAACUGAGUUGUGCCAGAUAUUAUGAUAAGUGCAAGGGAUAGAACAGUGAAUAAGACAGAUAUAAUCCCUAGCCUCAUAGAGAGUAUAGUCUACGCUCGAUUAGAAAGAUCUGACAAACACUAAAAUGAACGAAAAUGAAUAUGAUAAAAUAAUUACAGUUGAGUGCUAGGAAGGAAUUAAGCAGAGCUUCUUAAUAGGGAAUAUCAGUGGAGACCUGUGCUACUGAUCAUGGGAGACCUUUCUGAGCAAGUAACAUUUAAAUUGAGAUCUGCCCUAGGAGCAUCCAUCAGAAUAACAAGGGGAAUAUUGUUCUAGACUGCCAGCAAAGCAAGAAUUAAACCCAUGCUAAGAAGUGGAGAUGAACAGGGUGGAGCGUAGUGGACCAAGGGAAGCAGUGACACCUCCUGAGCAGGCAGUGCCCAGCAAGAGCAGUUCAAGGAGGGUUUUGUAGGCCGCGCUGAGAAGUCUGAAUUUUCUUUUCGUGCCUGGAGAAGCCAUAAAGAGGGUUUUUAAGUGAAAAAGUGAUACAGUGGGAUGUGAAUGUUAAGCAGAUAGCCCUGGCCACUUUGUGGAGGACGGCUCGAGGGCAGCAAGAGCAGAACUGCGGGAGCUGAUCCGUGGUCUGGGCAAGAACUGAUGCUGCUGGCCUCAGCAGGGAGGUAGAGCGGUCAGUAGGUUGCACUGAGAUAGAAGGAUGCAGGGUACAAAUGCACACUGAAAGUCACUUCUAAGACUUAGGAGGGGUUUCCCUGGCGGUCCAGCGGUUAGGACUCCAGGCUGCCACUGCUGAUCCUACAAGCCAUGCUGCGUGGCCAACAAAAUUAAAAAAAAAAAAAAAAGACUUAGUAGCUAGUUUAAAGUUUAGAUGCAAAGACUCUCUGAUAUUAAAGUGUAGCAAAUCUGAUCAAUUUUGUUCAAGAAAAGAUGAGGAGAUUCACACACACAAAAAGCUAUCUAUCAAGAAGAGCAGCUGAUAGGAGAAUAAGAAAGUAAUCCUAAUUUGAAUUGACUGGAUUUUUGAAAGAAAUAUAGUCCAAACUUUUGUAAGUAAAACGUUAUUGAGCGUUCUACUUAUGAGUGCUUUUUACUUUCUCCACAAACUUGGAAAAACAGCAGUUAGGAAUACAUUAAUGCUUCUGAAUACAAAUUAAUGACUGUUAUUUGUAACUAAUUUCAAAGCUGUCCAAGUUCUGUUUUUCUAAUUUAAUUAUUUUCAUAUAAUACCAUAAUAGUUCUUUAUAAUAUUAGAAACAACCUUGAAGCGUUUUUUCUUUCAUUUUGUUCUUGUUUUAUGUGUUUUUCACUUAACCGAGCUGCCCUGGAGUCGCCCAGCUGCCCAGGUUAUCUAUCUAUCUAUCUAUCUAUCUAUCUAUCUAUCUAUCUAUCUAUCUAUCUAUCUAUCGUCGCCCACUGCCCAGGUGUAUAUACAGGAUCACCCAGCCGCCCAGGUAUCUAUCUACGUAUCUGUCUAUCUAUCGUUGCCCAGCUGCCCAGGUGUCCCGGAAAAAGACCUGGGGCGGCGGCACCCAACGGGCGCGGUGCGGCUCUUUGGGUGGCCAGUGGGGCAGGGCUCCCAGUCCCACCCAGGGACACACGGGCCCCCGUCGGCAAGGCGCAGCCCCCGCCGCAGCCCCCGCCGGACGUCGUCCCGCCGGCGGAGGAGGGUGCCGAGGGGCAGCCAGCGGACGCCAUGUGAGAAGCGGGACGCAGGCUGCGCAGCCCGAGGGCAGAGCGGCGCCCGCGGUGCAGGUGCGGGACCGCGAAGCCGCGGACGAGGCCGGUCCCGGGGAGCUCGCGUCCCGCAGCCUGCGUCCCGGGCGCGGACCGGCUGCGGCGGCGGGGCCCGAGGGAUCACUGGGAGCAAUGAUCCCCCUCCUGGGUGUCUCGCAGGCCUCCCACGCCACCCAUCGUGGACCACAGGACCCUCUGUCCCCUGCUGACACCUGUCCCUUCUUCCCGGCUUGGUGGCCAUGGUGGAUCCCCUCUGCCCUGGAUGCUGUGAGUUUAAUGCUGGUCGGGGAAGCAGAGGACGUGAGGGACAGAAGCAGGGUCCUGGGGUCAGCUUUCUUUCGUCCUGGUCUUAUGGGCCUGAACAGCACCCCAUCUGUGAGAGCUCGAGGCACCUACAGAGCCGCGGGCUCUACCCCCUGGCCACUGGGUCGUGCGCUGCAUGGUCCUUGGCGCCAUCUUCCCUGUGGCCAAGCAGCUUCUCUGACCACAACGACGUGAAGCUGGAAGUCAACCACAGAAAAAGAAAUGAGGAAAAAAUCGUUACCUGGAGACUAAACAACAUGCGACCAAAAAUAACCAGUGGGUCAACGAGGAAAUCAAAAAGGGAAUUAAAAAAUACCUCAAGUGAGAGUUUCUAUAAAACUCUACUUUUUAUACAUUAUU